rnacentral:rRNA from 1 species
UACGUAGGAGGCAAGCGUUGUCCGGAAUUACUGGGCGUAAAGGGUGCGUAGGCGGUUCGUUAAGUCUGUCGUGAAAUCCCCGGGCUCAACCUGGGAAUGGCGAUGGAUACUGGCGAGCUAGAGUGUGUCAGAGGAUGGUGGAAUUCCCGGUGUAGCGGUGAAAUGCGUAGAGAUCGGGAGGAACAUCAGUGGCGAAGGCGGCCAUCUGGGACAACACUGACGCUGAAGCACGAAAGCGUGGGGAGCAAACAGG